UACGGGGGGAGCAAGCGUUGUUCGGAUUUACUGGGCGUAAAGGGCGCGUAGGCGGCCACCGCAAGUCAAUUGUGAAAUCUCCGGGCUUAACCCGGAGCGGCCAAGUGAUACUGUCGUGCUAGAGUGCGGAAGGGGCUACUGGAAUUCUCGGUGUAGCGGUGAAAUGCGUAGAUAUCGAGAGGAACACCUGCGGCGAAGGCGGGUAGCUGGGCCGACACUGACGCUGAGGCGCGAAAGCCAGGGGAGCGAACGGG
rnacentral:rRNA from 1 species